rnacentral:rRNA from 1 species
CCUGGAAACAGAUGCUAAUACCGGAUAACAACAGAUGAUGCCUAUCAACUGUUUAAAAGAUGGUUCUGCUAUCACUCUUGGAUGGACCUGCGGUGCAUUAGCUAGUUGGUAGGGUAACGGCCUACCAAGGCGAUGAUGCGUAGCCGAGUUGAGAGACUGAUCGGCCACAUUGGGACUGAGACACGGCCCAAACUCCUACGGGAGGCAGCAGCC